GACGAACGCUGGCGGCGUGCUUAACACAUGCGAGUCGAACGGAAAGGCCCUGCUUUUGUGGGGUGCUCGAGUGGCGAACGGGUGAGUAACACGUGAGUAACCUGCCCUUGACUUUGGGAUAACUUCAGGAAACUGGGGCUACUACCGGAUAGGAGCUCCUGCUGCAUGGUGGGGGUUGGAAAGUUUCGGCGGUUGGGGAUGGACUCGCGGCUUAUCAGCUUGUUGGUGGGGUAGUGGCUUACCAAGGCUUUGACGGGUAGCCGGCCUGAGAGGGUGACCGGCCACAUUGGGACUGAGAUACGGCCCAGACUCCUACGGGAGGCAGCAGUGGGGAAUAUUGCACAAUGGGCGGAAGCCUGAUGCAGCAACGCCGCGUGCGGGAUGACGGCCUUCGGGUUGUAAACCGCUUUCGCCUGUGACGAAGCGUGAGUGACGGUAAUGGGUAAAGAAGCACCGGCUAACUACGUG
rnacentral:rRNA from 1 species